UACGUAGGGGGCUAGCGUUGUCCGGAAUCAUUGGGCGUAAAGAGCGUGUAGGCGGUCCGGUAAGUCCGCUGUGAAAGUCAGGGGCUCAACCCCUGAAUGCGGGUUGAUACUGCUGGGCUAGAGUCCGGAAGAGGCGAGUGGAAUUCCUGGUGUAGCGGUGAAAUGCGCAGAUAUCAGGAGGAACACCAAUGGCGAAGGCAGCUCGCUGGGACGGUACUGACGCUGAGGCGCGAAAGCGUGGGGAGCGAACAGG
rnacentral:rRNA from 1 species